rnacentral:rRNA from 1 species
GACAGAGGGUGCAAACGUUGUUCGGAAUUACUGGGCGUAAAGCGCGUGUAGGCGGUUCGCUAAGUCGGGUGUGAAAGCCCCGGGCUCAACCCGGGAAGUGCACUCGAAACUGGCGAGCUAGAGUAUCGGAGAGGUUGGUGGAAUUCUCGGUGUAGAGGUGAAAUUCGUAGAUAUGGGGAGGAACACCGGUGGCGAAGGCGGCCACCUGGACGGUAACUGACGCUGAGACGCGAAAGCGUGGGGAGCAAACAGG